UACGUAGGCAGCGAGCGUUGUUCGGAAUUACUGGGCGUAAAGCGUGCGUAGGCGGUUCGUUAAGUCUGUUGUGAAAGCCCCGGGCUCAACCUGGGAAUGGCAAUGGAUACUGGCGAGCUAGAGUGUGUCAGAGGAUGGUGGAAUUCCCGGUGUAGCGGUGAAAUGCGUAGAGAUCGGGAGGAACAUCAGUGGCGAAGGCGGCCAUCUGGGACAACACUGACGCUGAGGCACGAAAGCGUGGGGAGCAAACAGG
rnacentral:rRNA from 1 species